AUGGCCGGUCUGCGCAGCUCCUCCUCUCGCCCCCGUAGCCCUAAGCCCGAAAAUUGGAUGAAGUGUUCCGUCCCGCAUAGCCAAUUAGUGGAGCUACAGACCAAGGGAUUCCUCCCCCCGGCGUACAUGGUGCCGGUUCGAGCCGGGCUUGCCACCUAUAAUGGCGGAGAGCAAGCGCAGAGCCAUCCCGACCCCUCCAAGGGGGAGCGGGUGUGCCUCAUUCCUUAUUUAUUAAGGGGACUUGGAUUUCCAAUCCUUCCGUUCCUGCGAGGGCUCUUGGAGUUUUACGGCCUCCAAUUGCAUAAUCUCACCCCUGCCUCCAUAUUACACAUCGCCGGAUAUGUGGCUCUUUGCGAGCUGUUCCUGGGCUUCGAAGCCCAUUUCGCACUGUGGAAAAGGUUAUUCUGCCUUGUGCCCCAUACACAGGGGGGCUCUAUAUUUCAAGUGGGCGGAGCCGAAAUAUGGCGCAUUGCCGGGACCGGAUACCUAUCCGGUACCUCGAAGAAGACGUCCGAAGACUGGCCUUCAGAGUGGUUCUAUAUAGAGGACGUCCCUCUUCCGAAUCCUGUUAGGAUCGGCCUUCGUGAGUUCAACAAUGCUCCUCUGAAGAAGCGCCUGAGCUGGCGACCAAGCAGCCCUCAGGAGGAAGAUGAUAGAGAUGUUUCUUACCUGAUGGGCCGGAUAAAGGUAUUGGCUCUAUCAGGGCUGACUACAACCGAUGUUAUGUCAAUAUGCAUUAUGCGAGGGGUGCAGCCGCUUCAAUAUCGAGGCCGCCCUAUGUGGGAUUUUAACGGGGAAAAUGACGCUACCCGAUGCGGCCGUAAGGGGCCGGACUCAGUUGCCGCCCUGGCAAAAAUUCUGUCCUGUCUGUAUAAGGGAGAGGAAGAGGAGUUCCUCCGCAUCAAGCCACGGGACGGAUUCUCCAUGUACAAUCCUCCGAGCUGGGUAAGCUGCCACUCUUCAUGCCCUUCCCUUCCGUAUUUUCGUGAUAGAUAUUUUAUUUUGCUCGUUCAUUGCAGGAGCUGCGCAAGGCAGUAA
rnacentral:rRNA from 1 species